GACAGCUUUGGUCAAUAGCUGGGUGGUUUACAAUAUUCGGCAGCCAGUUCCAAUUUCAAAGAAAGAUUUCAUCGAAGCGAUCAUAGCAGCAUAUACCAAAACGCCAAUCACGGAUACUAACUCAGAUGGUCAAAAUGAGGUAGUCUUAAAGAAAAAACACAACUUCGAAAAGAAAGGUGAGAAGAGGAGAAUUUGUGCCGGCUGCUACCAAAAGCUGCGUGGUACACUCAACAGCCGAGAAGCAAAUAGAAAAGUAAAGAAAAUAAAAUCUUUCUGCGUAGAAUGUAAGAAAGGAUACUGCUUGUCAUGUUUCUAUAAAACUCACAUGUAAUUAAUUAAUUUUUCACAUAUAAUGUGAAAAAUAAUACUGGCUGUCUAUUUUUUUUGAUUCUUUAAUAAAUGAUAUAAAAAGGA